AAGCGAGGACGACCUCCCCCGCAUUGGGACAUUUCAUUCGGGACGACCCGA
rnacentral:ncRNA from 1 species